ACUAGGAAGUAUUUCACUGGGUGCAUUUCAUUCUAUUUUAAAUCGCCGCUUUGCAUAAGUAAACAAAAAUGUCAGAUGGAUUUAAGUUGGUGUCUCUCUUUCUAAGUGAUCGGUUUGACAACUUCUUCAAGUCUUAUGCUUCGCCAAUAAAGGUAGCAUUUACAUUUGGGGCUGUCGUGGAUUUGUCGCAGGAGUGAUUGUUGGUUGCUUUGGACGAGAACUGUAUACACUAUUUAUUGCAGCCACAUCAGAUAAGAAUGAACAACAGACGGCGCAAAAUGUUGUAUCGGAUAAACAAAAGACGGCGCAAAACGUUGUAUCGAAUGAACAACAGACGGUGCAAAACGUUGUAUCGAAUGAACAACAGACGGUGCAAAACGUUGUAUCGAAUGAACAACAGAUGGAAAAACAGACGGCGCAAAAUCGAUUGAAUCGAUUGAACAAGAGACGGUACAACAGACGGCGCAAAACGGUGAAUCGAUUGAACAAGAGACGGUACAACAGACGGCGCAAAACGGUGAAUCGAUUGAACAAGAGACGGUACAACAGACGGCGCAAAACGAUGAAUCGAUUGAACAAGAGACGGUACAACAGACGGCGCAAAACGUUGAAUCGAUUGAACAAGAGACGGAACAACAGAACGGUACAACGGCAGUAAAGGACAUAAUUUCCUAUCUGAUACCUAUACUUACCGAAGAUGCCAGUUUGUUUCCCGAGCUAAAGACAUACUUGAACUGUCAAACAGAAAUAGAAGGAAAUGAUAUUAAAAAACUGAUGGAAGUUGUUAGCCCACGUUUGAUGCCAGACUACAAUAA